AUAUAAAAAUUCAGAACUAAACGCUCCUGCCUCUUCCCUCCACCCACUUCCUCUGUGUUCUUCGUCAAACAAAGAACCCCGUUUCUUCUUCUACCCCCUCUUUCCUCCGUUUCUUCCUCUACUCACUGUCCACCGAAGAAUUGUCUAUCCUUUCUAAGCCUUCUGGCGAUGCGAAUUCAGAGAUUGUGAGCUACCAAUUCACACCCGAGCACGAAUUUCAGUUGGUACCUAUGAACAACUCGUAGCGGUCUCAAAUCCUGCAGCGAUUCAUGAAGAGGGGAGAUGCUACCAGUUGUAGCAAGGGUCUGGGGAGAGAAGGCUGUCUUCCUCAUCAUAGGGUUGCUAUGAUGGACUCUAAACUCCUUGCUCCUCAUUUUUACCGAUGGGAGACCCAUAUAUCAAAAUUAGUAAGAUUAUUAGGUUAAGCCUUCUUCCACAACGAAAAUUGGUAGGGUUUUGGUCAAACUCUGUUGCUCGUCUUUCGUUUAUCUUCUCAAAUUUUCGAAUCUUUUGUAGGGUUUUGCUCAAAAGAAGUUGAUCUAUAAUGGAGCCUCGAGUUGGAAAUUAGUUCUGUAUUGGUCGGAAAAUUGGUAGCGGAUCCUUAGAGAUCUACCUCGGGAAGUAUUCCAUAGAAUUGUGAGAAGCAGAACAGAAGGGCGUGAUUCUCUUGGAAAGCAAAACCUUGCUAAUUAACCUUUUUUAUGCAUACCCUUCAGUUUUCAUUGUUGGAUUUUGCUUCCUUAGAAGCCGAGGAUGGAGAUCAGAAUUGAAAAUUAAGCCAACAAUAAAAAACUUAGAGGGAGGAUUCUUGUAUCUAAGAACCGUGUAAAAUGUAUAGAGCUUAGAUUAUUUUAUGCGGAUCUUUUGUGAUGUCUGGUGCUUUUUAUUCUCUUGGUAGUUGUAUCGCUAUAUGUUGAAAUUUGAAUUAAUCUUGCAUGCUACUGUUUCUUUUUUUUA